CAAAAACUUCAGCAAAGAAAUACCUGCAAAAGAAAACAAAGUCAAACAGAUGGCUGUCUAAGUGCAAAACCCAUAGGUUCAAAUUACUUCAUGUCUUCAUUCUACAAAUAACAAUGAUAUAUUUGAGCUCACCAUAGAACAGCUAUAUCUGGUGACAUAUCUUCCACAAUAAGAAUGAAACCAUACGUUCUUUGAAACAUCUCCCACAGGCUACUAUACUGCUUGACAGAUAUUCCACAUAGAAACAACAAAUAGAGUGACCACAGAGUUGUCCAGAAAAA
rnacentral:misc_RNA from 1 species